AACGACCGUCGUGGAGCUUGUAUGUUUAUUGUUUAUGUUAUUGUUCUUUCUUCAUGUAAUAAUAAAACCCAGUAUGUAUUAAUUAGAUUUUUUUAGAAAUGAAACUUCGCUAUGAAGAGUCGAGUUAGAACGGAAGCAGACCCACGUGACCUCUGACCGGCGGAAGUCAACAGUACCAUUUAAACACGUGGAGUGGGAUGUCUAGGAUAUUUCCGUCUAUAGUAUUUAGCUUAUUAACCGAAUGUAAACUUUUUUUUUUUAAAGGAGGACGUAUUUUAGCCGACGAUUUUAAUUAUACAAAGUCGUCCCCUCAGUAGCUGAUUGGGAUUUAAUGUGAAACUCGUUCUGUGGAGAUUGUAAACAAACACUACAAUGAGUUUCCCCUUAAACGCGUCUUUCCUAAACACAAGCGAAGCCUCUGUUAUCGAGUCUGCAGUCAGAACGGCGGUCAUGUCCAUCCUGAAGGUUUUCUGUGAGCUGAAUGACAAGAGGUCGAGGUGCUAUGAGGAGAAGUUAACCGAGGCGCAAAGACAAAACACGGCGCUGAAGAUCCAGUUAAAAGCAGCCGAGCAGGAGCUUCACACCUUACGACAGAUCUCUACUGACUACAGCAUCUCAGCUGAAGUGACCUUGAGCCAAGACUUGAGCUCAGAUGUUCGAGAAGAACAGGCAGGUUUCCACAGCGAUGCCGAUCUGCUGAUAAAGGAAGAACCUUCUUACGAGAACACGUUGUGUUUGAAGAGUGAAGUGACAGAUGAAAGAUCUGCACCAGAGUGUGAUUAUCAGAGUGAGAUACACAAUGUCCAGGUUUCCCAACAGACUCCAGGUUCAGAGGUGUGGAACAUGCACCAUGAGCAAACAUUCAGUUCAGCAAGAUCCAGCCUUCACCAGACCAGACAGAACUGGAUUCCUGGUGACGUUCUUACAGGGAAAUUAAAAAGCAGAGAGUGUGUGAGGAGAUACAGAGAAAGGAUCCGGGCUGACCCAGAAAAGUACCACGCCUGGAAGGAGAAGGAACGCUUGAGGUAUCAGCAGAAGAGAAAGCCCAUUAGCGAUCUGUCUGAACCCAUGAAGAAGCUGAAGAGGAAGGCUUGGAGAGAGGCUAAGAGACGUGAUCGUGCUAGAAAGCAGGUUCAAGCAGCUUCCGCGCACGUGAUCCAGACAAGUGACUCGUGAAGGGUGGACUGUCUCGCUCUUUAACUCGACCGGAGAGAAGAACCGCAUGUGCUGCUUUGUGCUCACGUCACGACGGGGAGAUUAACAGGCAGCACAGUGGAAAGAUCUCUGCUGAUCACAUGAUCAUCUCAUCUGCAGUGAGAACAAGCGCUCAUGAUCUCUCCGCAGGAGAAAACGAAUCCAGGAUCUCCCUGAACCCAUGCAGAGGCUGCAGAGGGAAGCUUGGAGAGAAGCUACGAGGCGGCACCGCGCAAGAAAGUCGGCACAAGCGACUGUCUCUGCCCCAACACUCGACCCAUGACCCCUACACUGUUAUUUAUAUAUUUAUGUAAUCUAAUGGCAACAAAAGCUCUCAUUUGUAUACAGUAGGUAUCUUGUUCACAUCUUGUUCAUAUCUUGUUCAUAUCUUGGUAACAUCUCCAUCUCCUUAUUUAAUAUCUAAUUAGUUAUACAAUGUAUUAAAAGACAAAAAGCUAUUCAAAUCUGUUUACUUAUUGUUAUGAGUGUUGUUUAUUUGUCGGUGCUACACAUUCAAGCACCUCUGUGUUGUGUUGAACAAAUUUAUUUAAUAUGAUUCAUUACAAUAAAAGUAAGUCAAUAACUGCA